rnacentral:lncRNA from 1 species
GUCACAGCAGGCCUGGAAUUCUGUGCCCUGAAGGGAUCUGUCACAGCUGGGUUAGCAAGGCUUCCCUAGUCUUGGAGGCUGUGAUCAAGCAAGAUGCCCCCUCUCUGGAGCAACCCAGCCCUCCCGGGACAAGAAAUGUGGCGACUCUGUCAGGAACGCUCAGGAUGUGGUCACUGCAGUCUCCACUCCACAG